GUCAGGAUGGCCGAGUGGUCUAAGGCGGUAGACUCAGCAUCUAUUCCUCGUUAAAGGGGGCGUGGGUUCAAAUCCCACUCCUGACA
rnacentral:tRNA from 1 species